rnacentral:rRNA from 1 species
ACCUGCGGAAGGAUCAUUAAUGAAUAAAC